rnacentral:rRNA from 1 species
UACGGAGGGGGCUAGCGUUGUUCGGAAUUACUGGGCGUAAAGCGCACGUAGGCGGCUUUGCAAGUUAGAGGUGAAAGCCCGGGGCUCAACCCCGGAAUUGCCUUUAAAAACUGCAUCGCUAGAAUUGUGGAGAGGUAAGUGGAAUUCCGAGUGUAGAGGUGAAAUUCGUAGAUAUUCGGAAGAACACCAGUGGCGAAGGCGACUUACUGGACACAUAUUGACGCUGAGGUGCGAAAGCGUGGGGAGCAAACAGG